rnacentral:rRNA from 2 species
UAAUACAUGCAGUCGAACGAACUCUGGUAUUGAUUGGUGCUUGCAUCAUGAUUUACAUUUGAGUGAGUGGCGAACUGGUGAGUAACACGUGGGAAACCUGCCCAGAAGCGGGGGAUAACACCUGGAAACAGAUGCUAAUACCGCAUAACAACUUGGACCGCAUGGUCCGAGCUUGAAAGAUGGCUUCGGCUAUCACUUUUGGAUGGUCCCGCGGCGUAUUAGCUAGAUGGUGGGGUAACGGCUCACCAUGGCAAUGAUACGUAGCCGACCUGAGAGGGUAAUCGGCCACAUUGGGACUGAGACACGGCCCAAACUCCUACGGGAGGCAGCAGUAGGGAAUCUUCCACAAUGGACGAAAGUCUGAUGGAGCAACGCCGCGUGAGUGAAGAAGGGUUUCGGCUCGUAAAACUCUGUUGUUAAAGAAGAACAUAUCUGAGAGUAACUGUUCAGGUAUUGACGGUAUUUAACCAGAAAGCCACGGCUAACUACGUGCCAGCAGCCGCGGUAAUACGUAGGUGGCAAGCGUUGUCCGGAUUUAUUGGGCGUAAAGCGAGCGCAGGCGGUUUUUUAAGUCUGAUGUGAAAGCCUUCGGCUCAACCGAAGAAGUGCAUCGGAAACUGGGAAACUUGAGUGCAGAAGAGGACAGUGGAACUCCAUGUGUAGCGGUGAAAUGCGUAGAUAUAUGGAAGAACACCAGUGGCGAAGGCGGCUGUCUGGUCUGUAACUGACGCUGAGGCUCGAAAGUAUGGGUAGCAAACAGGAUUAGAUACCCUGGUAGUCCAUACCGUAAACGAUGAAUGCUAAGUGUUGGAGGGUUUCCGCCCUUCAGUGCUGCAGCUAACGCAUUAAGCAUUCCGCCUGGGGAGUACGGCCGCAAGGCUGAAACUCAAAGGAA